AUUGAACGCUGGCGGCAUGCCUUACACAUGCAAGUCGAACGGUAACGGGCCUUCGGGUGCCGACGAGUGGCGAACGGGUGAGUAAUGCAUCGGAACGUACCUUUCAGUGGGGGAUAACGUAGCGAAAGUUACGCUAAUACCGCACAUUCUGUGAGCAGGAAAGCAGGGGAUCGCAAGACCUUGCGCUGAUUGAGCGGCCGAUGUCAGAUUAGCUAGUUGGUGAGGUAAAGGCUCACCAAGGCGACGAUCUGUAGCGGGUCUGAGAGGAUGAUCCGCCACACUGGGACUGAGACACGGCCCAGACUCCUACGGGAGGCAGCAGUGGGGAAUUUUGGACAAUGGGGGCAACCCUGAUCCAGCCAUGCCGCGUGAGUGAAGAAGGCCUUCGGGUUGUAAGGCUCUUUCGGCCGGGAAGAAAUCGCACAGGCUAAUACCUUGUGUGGAUGACGGUACCGGAAUAAGAAGCACCGGCUAACUACGUGCCAGCAGCAGCCGCAG
rnacentral:rRNA from 1 species